UACGUAGGUGGCGAGCGUUGUCCGGAAUUACUGGGUGUAAAGGGCGCGUAGGCGGUUAUGCAAGUCAGUUGUGAAAGCCCGUGGCUUAACUGCGGAAUUGCAUCUGAAACUGCAUAUCUUGAGUGCCGGAGAGGAAAGCGGAAUUCCUAGUGUAGCGGUGAAAUGCGUAGAUAUUAGGAGGAACACCAGUGGCGAAGGCGGCUUUCUGGACGGUAACUGACGCUGAGGCGCGAAAGCGUGGGGAG
rnacentral:rRNA from 1 species